rnacentral:lncRNA from 1 species
CUCCCCAUGCCAUGUCCAACAAGUAUACUUCUUGUCCAUAUCAUAUUGUAGCAAACACUUCUCAACAAGUGUUAUGUGAUGAUAUACCAUAUUGACACAUCUCUUACAUGGAUACUUUAUUUGACUAGCACUGUCAGCUUUAUGCCGUGCAAAGUCAAUGAAAUCUCGAACUCCUUUUCGAUAUUCAGAUAAAAAAAUACCUCUAGCAUUCAUCCAACUUUUUUUGAUAUUCAUCUAACAAUAAACACAAAAUCAUU